GUGAAUCAUCGAAUCUUUGAACGCAUCUUGCGCUCUCUGGUAUUCCGGAGAGCAUGUCUGUUUGAGUGUCAUGAAUUCUUCAACCCAACUGUUUCUUGUAAACAGCUGGUGUUUGGAUUCUGAGCGCUGCUGGCUUCGUGCCUAGCUCGUUCGUAAUACAUCAGCAUCCCUAAUACAAGUUUGGAUUGACUUGGCGUAAUAGACUAUUCGCUAAGGAUUCAAUGUUCGCAUUGAGCCAACUUAAUUAUGGAAGCUUCUAAUUGAAAAGUCUACCUUUAGAUUAGAUCUCAAAUCAGGCAGGAUUACCCGCUGAACUUAA
rnacentral:rRNA from 1 species